rnacentral:rRNA from 1 species
AUCCGUUGUAUAAUCCGAAGACGUGAUGUGGAGCGAAAUAAAGUAGUGAAGCGUGUGAGCCAUGUGCCGAGAAAAGCUGCUAUUGUGUAAUGCGUGCCCGUACCGUAAACCGACACAGGUGGAUGAGGAGAGAAUCCUAAGGCCGACGGAAGAAGCAUUGUUAAGGAAUUCGGCAAAAUGACCCCGUAACUUCGGGAGAAGGGGUGCCUGCGAGAGCAGGCCGUAGAGAAUAGGCUCAAGCAACUGUUUAGCAAAAACACAGGUCUAUGCGAAACCGAAAGGUGAAGUAUAUGGGCUGACGCCUGCCCGGUGCUGGAAGGUUAAGAGGAGAGGUUAGCGUAAGCGAAGCCUUGAAUUUAAGCCCCAGUAAACGGCGGCCGUAACUAUAACGGUCCUAAGGUAGCGAAAUUCCUUGUCGGGUAAGUUCCGACCCGCACGAAAGGCGUAAUGAUUUGAGCACUGUCUCGACAAUGCAUCCGGUGAAAUUGAAGUACCAGUGAAGAUGCUGGUUACCCGCGCCAGGACGGAAAGACCCCAUGGAGCUUUACUCCAGUUUGAUACUGGGAUUCGGUACUGCAUGUACAGGAUAGGUGGGAGACGAAGAAGGAUGGACGCCAGUCUGUCCGGAGUCGCUGUUGGGAUACCACCCCUGUAGUACUGGGUUUCUAACCAGUUGCCAUGAACUGGCAAUGGGACAAUGUCAGGCGGGGAGUUUGACUGGGGCGGUCGCCUCCGAAAGGGUAUCGGAGGCGCUCAAAGGUUCCCUCAGAAUGGUUGGAAACCAUUUGAAGAGUGCAAAGGCAGAAGGGAGCUUGACUGCGACACCGACGGGUGGAGCAGGUACGAAAGUAGGACUUAGUGAUCCGGUGGUAUAAAGUGGGAUUGCCAUCGCUCAACGGAUAAAAGCUACCCUGGGAUAACAGGCUUAUCACUCCCAAGAGUUCACAUCGACGGAGUGGUUUGGCACCUCGAUGUCGGCUCAUCGCAUCCUGGGGCUGUAGCAGGUCCCAAGGGUUGGGCUGUUCGCCCAUUAAAGCGGUACGCGAGCUGGGUUCAGAACGUCGUGAGACAGUUCGGUCCCUAUCCGGCGCGGGCGGAGGAUAUUUGAGAGGAGCUGUCCUUAGUACGAGAGGACCGGGAUGGACGGACCACUGGUGUAUCUGUUGUCGACCAACGGCAUGGCAGAGUAGCCAAGUCUGGAAGGGAUAAACGCUGAAGGCAUCUAAGCGUGAAGCCCCCCUCAAGAUGAGAUAUCCCUCCUUCGGGAAUAAGACCCCUUGAAGACUACAAGGUAGAUAGGGCAGAGGUGGAAGCAUGGCAACAUGUGGAGCUGACUGUUACUAAUAGGUCGAGGGCUC